UCAUCAUCAGGAGAAAGAAAAGGGUUAUUUCAAAAACCCUUAAAACCCACAAAAUUCAACAAAAUUGAAGAGGAAUCAAGCUAAAAAUUGGGGCUUUAACUAAUUUCGUGAUCACCCAAGCUAGGAGAUCACAAGUUUGACGCUUGACAAGCUAGGUGGAGGCUUGGGAAAGAAGCGGGUGAAACGGACCGAGUAUAAGGAAAAAGAGCAUAAUCGGAUGCAAGGUAAAUGUCAAGAACACCCGGAUGAAGACCAACCUCAAUGAAGAACCGAACACGAUCAGGAUACAAGCUUCCGCACGUCGUUUCGUCGUUACUUUUAAACGACGAACUCAAUUACAUUAUGUUGUAUUAUUUUUAAAUUAUAAAAGUUUUAAUUUACCCGUAUUUUUCAAUGUAUAUGUAAUCAUAAUUACGUGUUUGUUUUCAUAAACUAUACGAAAAUCGUUAAUUAAUAGAAAUGGUCUUACACUUAA